GUCACGCUGUAAACGAUGUCGAUUUGGAGUUUGUUGCCUAGAGUGAUGGGCUCCGAAGCUAACGCGAUAAAUCGACCGCUGGGGAGUACGGCCGCAAGGUUAAAACUCAAAUGAAUUGACGGGGGCCCGCACAAGCGGUGGAGCAUGUGGUUUAAUUCGAUGCAACGCGAAGAACCUUACCUGGUCUUGACAUCCAUAGAAUUCUGCAGAGAUGUGGGAGUGCCUUCGGGAACUAUGAGACAGGUGCUGCAUGGCUGUCGUCAGCUCGUGUUGUGAAAUGUUGGGUUAAGUCCCGCAACGAGCGCAACCCUUAUUCUUUGUUGCCAGCGAUUUGGUCGGGAACUCAAAGGAGACUGCCGUUGAUAAAGCGGAGGAAGGUGGGGACGACGUCAAGUCAUCAUGGCCCUUACGACCAGGGCUACACACGUGCUACAAUGGCGUAUACAAAGGGAAGCGAAGGUGCGAGCUGGAGCGGAUCUCAUAAAGUACGUCUAAGUUCGGAUUGGAGUCUGCAACUCGACUCCAUGAAGUCGGAAUCGCUAGUAAUCGUAGAUCAGAAUGCUACGGUGAAUACGUUCCCGGGCCUUGUACACACCGCCCGUCACACCAUGGGAGUGGGUUGCACCAGAAGUAGAUAGCUUAACCGCGAGGGGGGCGUUUACCACGGUGUGAUUCAUGACUGGGGUGAAGUCGUAACAAGGUAACCA
rnacentral:rRNA from 1 species